UUCUUCCUCCCACUACAUAAUUGUCAUCAUUUGUUUAUGCUCAUAAAUACAUUAACAUGCAGACUUUAUUAACAUCCUAUAUACUCAUGAGCAUGCUGUUUGCUGCUGAGUCCCAGUUGUCUCUGAUCCAGCCCGUUUCAGAAAUUAAACUUCCAGGAGAGACCUUGAGCUUGUCCUGCAAAGUCUCUGUUAUUCAGUACUGGAUACAAUGGAGUCGGAAAAUGGGUGACCAGGGAAUUCAGUGGAUUGGAGAGACCAAUCCAGAUGGAACUGCAUCAUCUGUACACCGGCCUCUGAGGGAAAGAUUCACCAUCUCACGCGAUAAUUCAGUGAACACUGUUUACUUGGAGAUACGGAAGCUGGAGGCUAAAGAUAGUAGUCUCUAUUACUGCAGCACUCACACUGGGCUGCGGGCAUCUGCCCACGCACAGGUGGCUUUUCGCCGCUUCACAGCUGAUCGUUCUCUACGCAGCCCGCCUUUCUGUGCUCGAUUUACUUAA